rnacentral:rRNA from 1 species
UACGUAGGGUGCGAGCGUUAAUCGGAAUUACUGGGCGUAAAGCGUGCGCAGGCGGUUAUAUAAGUCAGUUGUGAAAUCCCCGGGCUCAACCUGGGAAUUGCAUCUGUGACUGCAUCGCUAGAGUACGGUAGAGGGGGAUGGAAUUCCACGUGUAGCAGUGAAAUGCGUAGAGAUGUGGAGGAACACCGAUGGCGAAGGCAGCCCCCUGGGCCAAUACUGACGCUCAUGCACGAAAGCGUGGGGAGCAAACAGG